AUAGUAUAAUGUUAUGUCAAGUAAGUAUAACUACCCAGUAAAAAUCAUCUUUCUUCCAUCGUACUGAUGUCCCGUUCCAGCCUUCCCCGUCUUUCUCAAGCAUAACUUUUUAUCAACUCCUAACAUCCCAAGCCACGUAACAUAACCGGUGUCAAAUCACCAAGACACUGUAACGCAGUAGGCUGUGACCUUUGUGCCCAUAAUAAUAAUUUGACUGAGAGCUAUCGAUCUAUUAGUUAAAUGGUAAGCGCUAAGGAAUUUUAGCGCUAGGGGAGCAUUUUAGUGCAGUGUAGAGAUAACUGAGCUUUAAACAAGCUCGUUUGGAUAUGCAAGGAAGGCUGUGACAUUGCAAAUUCCAGUUAGGUUAAUAUGCCCCGCUUCAGAGAAGGUAACCUAAACGUUUUAGAUGCUGAACUGUCAUUCAUCCAUUAAGAAGCUACAAUGGUAGAUCUUCCCAUUUAUUCCUGGUAAUGCGCUUACAGUUGGUUCAAGGUUAAUUACUUUUUAUGUCCUUUUUUUCUGUUUUACCUAAUAUGUCCUUAUUAUUUUUUUCCUUUCCUUUACAUGUGUUACUUUGUAUCCUUCUCUGACUUCAGGCAAAUGGCUUUUUUUUCUCCCCAGUCCUUGCUUUUUUUCUGUCUCUCGGAAAUAGUCUUUCCAAAGGAUCAGUCUAAGCUCCUGCCAUAGACCUGGCAGAAUACCUCAGCCUCACAGAGCUGGAUCUUGUUUUAAAAGAAAACCAUAUAUUUAUCACUGAAGUCUUGAAACUUUCGUAGCAAAAGUAUAUCUUAAUAUUGUAGAAAUACUGGUUAAAAGUGACCUUAGGAGGUCCUUACUUCACCUCCUACUUACAGCAGGAGUCACCAGCACUACUAGGUCAGGGUCGUGGCUUGGCCCACUGAGCCCUGACAACCCUGGGACUGAGAUCUGCCGUCUCUGUAGUGACCUCUGCCAGUGCUGCUCCGUCUCCAGGGGAAAAAGUGUUUCAUCAAGUCCAGCCUGAACUGCCCCGAGCUGUGAUCUGUGGCAUUGCCCCUCCUUAUGUCACCUGUCGCUGCCAAGAAGGGUUUGGCCCCAUCUAUCCCUUCUGUCCCUGCCCAUCUGGCAGCGGGGGGCAGCUCGCAGACCACCCCCACUGCAAGCCUCCCUGUGGCCAGACCCAACAAGCCCAGCUCCCUCCCGUUCUCCUCGUGGAUCAGGUGCUCCAGGCCCUGACCAGCUUGGCAGCCUCCGUGGCACCUCACCAGGGUCUCCACAUCCUCAUGUGGGUAUAUUUGGCAUCCGCCCACCUCAGCACCAUAUAGAAUGGGUAAUAAUGUUCUUAAUCUCAUUGAAGUUGUAUGGCAAAAGCCUGCAUUAAGGAAGGAUGGCUCAGAUCUCCGGCAGAGGCAGGCACGCCUGCCUAGACUGCGUAAGGGUGAGCAGGAGGCAGCAGCCACCUAGGAGGAGGCAUAUCGGCAUUCGCACCUGCAGCGAGGCUGGAAACGCUGAGAGGGUGCUUUUCCCUGACCUAUCCGUUGUAAGUUACCUGUCAUACUGACACCAGCACAGAGCUUGGUCCCACUUUAUAUGACAUGUGUAAUACGAGCUUAGCUGUUCUUUCGUAGCAGUUGUAUGCAAAGAGAACCACCCCAAUCAAGGGACUGGCCGGGUCUUAAUGGAUAACUAGAAAUACUCUGCACUUCACAGUUUGAUAACUGCAAUAAUAUAUUUUUGUUUUUUUCUUAAAACGAUUGCUGUAGAAGAAUAAACAAACUAAGCUCCAGCUGAGAAGCAGCAGCAUUUCAGAGGCUAAUAAGGCAAGUUUGGAAAAUACAAUAAUUGGCUGAUUUGGGAUGCUACUGGAAUCCAUCAGAAAGAAAAUCAUCUAAAUUUAAGAAUUAAUCAGCAGUUUCCUAAAAGGUGUUGAGAUAAUGGACUUCAAAUGUCAACUUACACUGUAAGAGAAAAUAGUAACUUCAAGCAAUACAUAUUAAAACAGAAAAUUGCCACAAAAAAGGUUAAAAUGGGGUUCUUUGUAACGAAUGGAAUUACUCAGAUGUCUUGGCAACUUGUCUGCUGUUUUGUUCAACCCUUCUGCUCUUGCAUCAAUGUCAUUGAAUGUUUAAAGCAUUUUAGGCAUAGCUUUUCUCUGAGACAGGGCCUUAUGACAUCAUUCUAUUCUUACCUGUAAUUUAUAUACUGUUCAGGGGCUUGAUAAAAACAAAUCAAACACCUCACUUGGGAUCCUGUUUUUCAAGAGCAGUUAACUUCUUAUACAACAUUAAUUUUAUUAUGGGAUGGGACAGUAUCAAACAUCAUCCCUUGUAUUCACAUGCAGGAGAUGCUUCCCCUACAGAUGAGUCAGUGAGAAUUUCUAUAGCUAUUGGAUGCAAUAACUUGUGGAACAGAUCUGCUGCUUCUAUCUAUAGUUUCUUCACUGUACGCGUUCCACUAAACGUUACCUCUCAGGCUUUCUUCAAAGGUAUAUUGUCUUUGAUGUGCAUGGAAUAUCCCUCAAGUUACCUACCGUUCACCAAAAGAACGUUGUGAAGACAAUGUUUUUGAGAGAAGCAAAUUUACUUCUACCAAGUAACCCUGUUUCUUCUAAGGCUAACAUUUCACUUGUCUGCACAAAAGAAAAAGCCAUAGUCAUAUCAACUCCGAUGGAAAAACUGAUAGUUAACUGAGACUCCAGCCAGCUUUCAUACUCAUAAGUCCAGCUUGGGAUGGGCAGCUUGAUAGUCACUGUUCUGCAAAUCAUUAACAUGAGCAAUGCUCGCUACCUUAAUAAAGCAGUUUUCAGACCGGAGCGUGAAGACACUUAUGAUGUGAUGGUGUUUAUCUGUAAAAGUUGCUGUAAAAGGAAUGGUCCCAUUCCAGUGAAGGCUGGUUUGGAGAUUUAGAGACAGCACUUGUCACCUGUCAGGAUAAUCAAUUUUGAUCAGCCAGGGCGUGGGGCUGGGGGGCCUUUACAAGUGAGGUUUACCUGAUCAUCAAGGUGGUGGAUAAGCUGCACGUAUUACUCGGCUCACUCACCAUAUUCUGCAGUACUAGAACAAAAGGCCUUGCAAUGAAACUAAUAGGAGAUCAGUUUAAAACGGAUAAAAAAGUACUUC